AACGAACGCUGGCGGCAUGCCUAACACAUGCAAGUCGAACGAGACCUUCGGGUCUAGUGGCGCACGGGUGCGUAACGCGUGGGAACCUGCCCUUAGGUUCGGAAUAACUCCCCGAAAGGGGUGCUAAUACCGGAUAAUGUCUUCGGACCAAAGAUUUAUCGCCUUUGGAUGGGCCCGCGUUGGAUUAGCUAGUUGGUAGGGUAAAAGCCUACCAAGGCGACGAUCCAUAGCUGGUCUGAGAGGAUGAUCAGCCACACUGGGACUGAGACACGGCCCAGACUCCUACGUGAGGCAGCAGUGGGGAAUAUUAGACAAUGGGCGAAAGCCUGAUCCAGCAAUGCCGCGUGAGUGAUGAAGGCCUUAGGGUUGUAAAGCUCUUUUACCCGGGAUGAUAAUGACAGUACCGGGAGAAUAAGCGCCGGCUAACUCCGUG
rnacentral:rRNA from 1 species